GUGGGAGGGGGCUUGCCCCCGAUUGCGGUGGGUCAGCUGCACAUUUGUUGACUGAUACACCGCAUCGGGGGCAAGCCCCCUCCCAC
rnacentral:misc_RNA from 1 species